GAGGAUGUCAUCCAUAUAAUCAAAUCAACAUGGUCUUAUUUGCACAAUGAGCAUAUACGUUUCCCACGUCAGAGGUUGAACUUUUACCUCAAGUCAAGUCAAGUGUAGUGACAGGUUAACCGGUUAGACAACAUCUUCAGACAGGGUGUGACACGGGCAGGUCAGCGCUGGAAGCUUGAAGAUCUCUAACUUUGUCACCAACUUUGUCUCACAGACAGCGUUCUGGCCCAUUGCGCCUCUCGUGUGAAGACGUACUAGGUCCAUUUCUGUCGAGCACGAUGAAGACGACUCUGGUGUUUCUUCUUGUUGUCCUGAUCAUCUCUGCCGAGAUGAUGACCACGGAGAGCUGUGGAGAUGGUGCCGGUUACGGAGGUGGUGACGAUUGGCUCGACAUACCCGGUGGUGGUGAGGCCAGAGACAAACGUGAUGAUGGUGGUUACGGACACGGAGGUGAUGAUGGUGGUUACGGACACGGAGGUGAUGAUGGUGGUUACGGACACGGAGGUCAUGAUGGUGGCUACGGACACGGAGGUGAUGAUGGUGGCUACGGACACGGAGGUGAUGAUCGUGGCUGGCUUUGAUGGUGAUUUCCACUAAAGCCAGGGCAGUCGGGGUGAACGUCAGGUGCCCUCCGCGUGGUCACUGAAGCUGUCAAGAAUUUCUCCGGCGUAUUACAAUUCCCUUGUUAACAUCAUUGCUGCUAGCUGAAGCUUUCCCGAUCUGAAAUGAAAUGUGUAAUAUCAUAAGGGUGUAAGGGUUCGCUUGAGGGCUAUAAUUUUUCUCCAAAUCUUUUAGGAACAAUGGCAAACUAGAGAUUCAAGACAUUGUGUUUAGAACUCUGAAAACAUGUGGCUUGCUUCAGAUAUCUCAACACCGUAAACACAUCACUUGGAACCAUCCAUUUUUGCUACACUCUUUCUAGUUAAGUUUUAGAAUAUAAAUUUAGUUUAGUAGAAUUCGCAUGUGCGUAAGUCACGGAAGGAGACGUCAGGUUACCUCGCGGCCCGGGCUAUUGGAUGCCAAAUAAAGACUAGAAACGAA